AGGGGAACAACUCUAAUAUUGCAAUCUUCCGUGUUUCCACACAAGAGAGUUUUUUGCUGAUGCAGUUGGUUGCUGCUGGAUUUACUAUUCAAACCACCAGACUUGACAGAAUGUCUGAACCUCAGGAGAAGGUGAACAUGAGUGCCCUCAAAGACACAUUCCUGGAGUGUCCUGUGUGUGUGGAACAUUUCAACCAGACAGACCGUCGUCCUCGUCUCCUCCACUCCUGCCUCCAUGCCUUCUGUACCCUGUGUCUUCAACAGCUGCUCACGAGGGAGGGAAACGGUCAGAUCACUUGCCCUUUAUGUCGCCAGGUCCACAAGGUCCCAGGGACGGCCGACACAUUGCCUGUGGAUCCUGUGAGAGCGAAACUUGUGGAUUUUGUGCAGAUCAAGAACGAAGGGAAUGUUCCUUGCACAGACUGUCCCGAGGGAAGUACAUCGGAGUCAAGGUGUCAGGAGUGUUCUGUAUAUCUCUGUAAGGAUUGCACAUACGUACACAAACGUCAUCGACUGACACACGACCAUCCAAUCAUUUCCCUGGUUGAUGUACUACAACAGCCCCUGAACACAUUUGGCAAGGGUCAUUUCUGCACUCAUCACCCAAAACACCAGUUGGAGUUCUUUUGUGCUACUGAUGAAACACUGUGUUGCAUGUCUUGCACAGUUCUGGAACAUAAAGGUCAUGACUUCAAGAAAUUAGAAGAAGCAGCUAAGAAACGACAAGAGGAAUUGGAAACAUCAAUGCAGGCAGUUCAUGCAAAUGCCCAACAACUGCGUCAGAGGCGACUGUCAGAAGAAAAGCAUCAAAAUGCAAUCGUGCAAGCUCAGGGAAAGGCCAAAUCCGAUGUGAGUGCAUACUUUACAAGUUUGACGAAUAUUAUCAAUAAAAGAAAAGCAUAUUUGGAUGAAGCCAUCGACCAAAGAAGUAGCACAAUGCUGUCUCUGUCUGAAAAGGAAGUAGCAGCGAUAGACCAGACUCUUGCUGUUAUGGACUCAACUGAAACGUACUUCGCACAAGCCAGGGAGAAGGCCGAUGUCGUGGAAAUGCUGCAGAUGUAUCCUGCAAUGAAGAGAAGUUUGGAAGCAUCAGCUGAUGGACAAAGACAAGGUCGACCAAUGGCACCGGAAGUUGUGACAUUUAAUCCCACAAAUGGAAACAUUGUCAAAACAUUAAUGUCAGAAGUAGGAUGCGUGAGAGAAUGUUCUGAGACUCAGAAAGAAAAGAAUCAACUUCUACAGUGUUUGGAUGAAGUAUAUGAUGCUGCUUUAAAAUACAAAAGCAAGAAUGAACUGAUGAAACAUUUCCAAGAGAAAACCUUCACCACCGAACGAGACACGUGUGCCAUCUGCCUGAAUCAGAUCGUUGAAGCAAAGAAGAUGAAGUGUGGACACUCUUUCUGUGAGAGCUGCCUUGACCAGGCAUCCAGUGUGCCAGGCAGUUGUCCUGUGUGUAAAAUAUGUUGUAAAGUAAUAACUGGACAUACGCCUCCCGGGAAGAUGGAGACAUGUCUUAUCCCUGACAGGCUACCUGGCUAUGAGCAACACAACACCAUACAGAUAACAUACAAUUUUCCGAAUGGAGUUCAGUCUGGACUGUCUCCGUGGUCUAGUGGAUAGAGUGUCGAUGGUUCGAUUCCUGACCAUGUUAAACGCAGGUGCUUGUUAUCACGCCUGGCCCUCGGCAUUAAUGGGACGGGCAUCCCAGGCCAGGAGUCAGGUAUAGAGGGGGAGAUUUCACCGCCUUCCUGCCCAACAGUCCAGAAGGUCAGAAGGUGCUGGGUCUGCUGAAGGUGGCCUGGGAGAGGAAGCUCACGUUCACAAUCAAGAUU
rnacentral:misc_RNA from 1 species